AAGAAUCAGGCAUCCUGUGAUGGGUUAGUCAGGAAAACUUAUACUCUAUAGUAGGAGAGGGGUCUGUCAAGUUAGCAUGCAAGGUGUUAAAGGAAAGGAAAUUUUGGUGGUUUCUCAUGGCAUUCUGCAUGGAGAGUUUGAAAGCUCAGAUGAGAGAAAACAUUUUGGGGUUUAUAUCUCAAUGAGAAUGAUCCAAUGGAGAGAGAAAAUUGAUGAUGUAGAAGAGAAAGAGACAACUGCUCAAGUAUUGUCCUCAAAUAAGUGAGAGAGAUGAAGAGACUAGUCAUUGGUCAGGAGUAUAAAUAAUUCAUCCAUAAAAACAAGGAGAUAAUAAAGAGUACAGUAAAAGCUUGGAUUGUGAGU